ACGCAGUGGGGUGUGUGGAAGUUGCACAUCAUGCCGUGUGAUGGUGGAAUAUGCUGCAUAGUGUGUGACCUCCCUACACAGUGCUGUGU